rnacentral:lncRNA from 1 species
AAAUCUGCCGUGGGCGAUUCAGCGCUGAACCUGCGGUGUAUGUACACCUUUUCCAUAUUUCGGAGCGGUCUCAUGCAUAGGAAUUCGCGCAAUGGUUUUCAUGACGGCGGGGACUUCUGGAGAGCGAGAUAUUUUUUGUGCAACGGAAAGAAGCGUGAAGAAGGAGCGGAGAUAUGAGAGCGGGACGGGCCGACGUCGUGAGUCUCUCGCGGGCGAGAAGCAGAAGAUGCUGGGGUACACUCCAGUCACAAAGCGAAUCGUCCUGUUCAAGUCACACGCAGUUUAGGUUCUUUUGUACGCCGGAGGGGGAGACGGACACUCCCGUGCUGGAGCUAAGAUGGGGGCUGAUAGACGAUUAUGAAGCAUUUCAUGGCCGUUGAGUGCAUGUGCGCUUCCUUGUUAAAACACGUAGCUCUGUCCUCUACAGGCGGAGCAUUUCCUGGCUGUUCUGUUGCUUUCCAGCACAAACAGCAUCGUGUGCCUCUACGCUCGAACUCGACGCGUUACGUUCAUCCACUCCCAGCUCGACGCCCCCAUUUCGCGUCAGGGAAACGCGCAACUCUGGCAGCAGCGCAAGGUGGAACGCCGGGCGAGUGUUUAAAUACAGGUUCUGUAGCAGCCAGUCGAAGGACGAGACUACGUCGGGAAGGCGAGCCCCGAUGCGCAGGGUUCGCCCCAGCUGUUUUGUCGGUCCUGCGUUCCUGUCGGAGAAUCGAGGAUCGAUGCACACGGGCAAGUGAAGCACUUACAUUUUCGUUUCCGUCACAUCUGAGUUUCAAGUGGACAAGUGCCCUCGACGCACGAUGAGGUGCCAAGUAAACUGUUACGUUGACCUCUCCGUCGCAUGUCACCGCACAGGUAUUCAAGC